rnacentral:rRNA from 1 species
AUAGCGUAUAUUAAAGUUGUUGCAGUUAAAAAGCUCGUAGUUGAACUUCGAACGUGGCUGGGCGGUCCGCCUCACGGUGUGUACUGUCUGGCCGUGUUCUCUUUCUUGGUGAGCCGGCAUGCCCUUUACUGGGUGUGUUGGGGAACCAGGACGUUUACCUUGAGAAAAUUAGAGUGUUCAAAGCAGGCCUACGCCCGGAUACAUUAGCAUGGCAUAAUAAAAUAGGACGUGCGGUUCUAUUUUGUUGGUUUCUAGAGUCGCCGUAAUGAUUAAUAGGGAUAGUUGGGGGCAUUAGUAUUCCGUUGCUAGAGGUGAAAUUCUUGGAUUUACGGAAGACUAACUUCUG